AUUCUGCCCAUGCGGGGAAGGAUGAGAAGCUUCGACUAAGGUUCGACUUGAGCGCCAGCGAGAAAGCGUUGCCGCAGGCAACGACCCGAAGGGCGAAGCGCGCAGCGCUGAGUAAUCCUUCCCCCACCACCA
rnacentral:sRNA from 1 species